CACAACUCUGUUCUGCAGAGUAGCUGUUGACAUUAUAGUUGCGCAGGCACUUUGUUGACUCUAAAGAACCUCGUGCCAAUCACACAUCCCCGUAGCGGUGACUUUGCAUGCGGAUGUCAUCCAUAUCAACUUUCGAUGCCAGUUUCUGCGCCUACCAUGGUGACCACGGGUAACGGGGAAUCAGGGUUCCAUUCCAUACAGGGACCCUGAGAAAAGGCUACCACAUGCAAGGAAGGCAGCAGGCGCGCAAAUUACCCACUCCCGACGCGGGAAGGUAGUGAUG